rnacentral:snoRNA from 1 species
UGAUGACAUCUCCGGAAUCUCUGUACCUCCUUGAUGAUUCCAUUUGAACCUAUAUGCUGAUGUCUGCUUGUUUUAAU